CCAAAAAUUAGUCUGAAAAUUUGUUUCUAUUAACCAAUCUUAUAGUAUUUUAACAACUAGCUUGCAUAAAGAGGAAAUCAAAAGAAUAAAUUUUCAUGUUUUGUUUCCAGCUUUUUCCCAAAAAAGUAAAUCAACAAUAAAACUAUGCUCUCAAACUGCUGCAAAUAUUUUAAUUAACCUCAUCAUCAUUCGUGCUCUCUGCAAUUCUCUGAACUACAGGGAGAGAAUUCUUGCACUUCUUCAACAUGCUCACUAUCAAAUCUUCUUGCAAUUAUGAUAACAUAGUAGAUGUUUAACCAUAGCAGAUUUCCAACUGAAAUUAUGAAAUUAUUUUAACCUGCUUUUCAUAGCCCUUCACUGCAUGACAUCCCUUCAGAAGCACUUGGAUUAUUUCUAACUGAAAGAAAAUUCAAAUGAAGUUAGGUCUAAUGAGAGGCAUCAUUCAUAAAACCACAUAAACAUUAAAAUUGCAAAGCAUAACAAUGAUCAAUUUUGUAAAUGAUCUCCAUUAUUGUCAGUCAAAGUUUGAAAUUUUGUUGCUAUGAUGAAUUUUAACACGUUUCCAAAUCAAAUACAGUUCUUAAGACAUCUUUUAUAUAUUAACACAUCUUUUCCACCUAUUUCUCAGCGGUUUGACAACAUGUUUGCUAGGGGGAUGCUCUGAUAUAGUGAUAUGAAAUAUAAGUUGUGAUAUCUUGUUCAUUCAAAUAGAGUUAGGUAUUUUCUGCUCAAAUCAACUCCUGAAACCUGAUAACCUUUACCUUUUAUUUGCAAGAGAUGGAAGAUAGCUCGAUUCAAGUUUACUUAUCUAUGAACCUUUCUAACAAAUGAUAGAGAAACAAUUCAUGGAAAAGAAAAAUAAUAACUACUAGCCAAACUCAAACCAUGUUUGCAAUCAUGUGCAUUAUAUAUGUUUGUGUUAAAACAGUUUUAUUUAAUUUCCAUUUUUUUUACAAGUAAUAGAAAAGUUUUCAAUUUGUACACAUAAUUAUAAAGAAAGAAAAAAAAAGUAUUCAGUACCCAAGCAUUGACGGAAAAUUUUAUGGUUUGCCAAUUCAAGUGCAAAGAAGUUAGAGUGGAGGCUGGAGCUGUAGAGUGGAGGCUGGAGCUGUAGAUGUAUUUUAUGAUAACCUGAGCUAUGCUGCCGUGUUUGAUCAUUUGGAGUUGAUGAUGAUGGUUGUGCUUGAUGGUCUCGUUGGCUGAGAAGAACUACUUGUAGACAUUGCCUUAACAAACAAAUCAGGAUCAUGCAUAUCAUAAAAUAAAAAACCACCAAGAUGCUUUUGUUAUUCUUCUUAGUUGUUAGAUUCAUCUUAAUGCGUAUUUAGAUGUUUUAUAUCGAACACAUCAUUUCAUUUUAUAUUCAGAGCUUUUAUUGCAUUUAACUCAUUUAGAUUCUCUUAUACAUUCAUAACUCUAUUGCAUUAACAAAUCGAUUAAUAUCCAAAAUGGGAUUGGAAGAGCUUACAGCUAAACAUCUGCUCUAAAUUAUAACCACAACUGGCAUAACCUGACUCAUAUUGCAUAAAUCAUAAAACUCAUAUUGCACGAAUUAUAUAUAACAUGAGCUGAUAGCUGAGGAACCAUGUAGAAAUUAUUAUUUUGGUGGCGCCACAUGUUAAAAGCAUGCUUUGCACGGGCAUAUAACGGACAAACAUGUAAUCUAUGAUUAUGGCAAUAUACUGAAUCUAAGAAUAUGAAGGGCAGUAACACAUAAAAUAAUGAAAAUAUUAUGUAAAUAAUUCAAAACAAUCAACCACUCAAACAGAGGCCAUAUGCAUGACACUUCAGACUCGAGCAUAUUAUGCAUGCCUUUCAACUAGAACUACAAGAUCAAUAAACUAACCCAGACUAAUUUUGCAUAGAAACAAGAAAAUCUUUAACCGAAGGGUCAUUCGGAUCAACUCCAGGGAGCUGUCAAACCAACAAAGCACCAUAAAAAUCUUAAGGAGAUAAUUCUAUUAUUACAAGUCGUCACUUCUUUAGUUGAUCGAACCCACGCACACAAGUUGACAAGAAUAAGGAGAAAAUAAUGGUUGAGUGUUCCAUAAUACUAAUAGGUGAAAAUGGCAUCUUAGAAACAUACCGAAGCAAAGGAUAGAUGACACAAAUGAUUGGUCUGCCAACAAAUUACUCAUAUCUGUCUGGCUUGAUUGAUCUCUCGCACCUUCCUGCAUAGAUAAUUGGAGAGCUGCAACUAGUAAAGACAUGAAAUCAAACAGCUGAAGAGGGAAGAGGGAAGAGGGGGAAUAGAUGAUAUUUGCCUAGGUGUAGUCGUGUAGAAGACUCUAAAAGUAGGGUUGUCAGAUAUUCUCAUUAACCUAGUAUUGACUUAGUGAACCGUAUAUUAGUACUUGCAUACCCAAACAUGAUACUCACACGUACCAAUACUCUAAAUUUAGUUUACUGAAAUAUUUCUUUAAUGUUUUAUCUAUAAUUGCACAAAAUAUCAAUAUUAUAAUAAUGUCUCAUAUUGUUUAGCGAGGAGUAUCGACAAAUCUUGCUGAGAGUAUUGGAUUUAUAACUUGAAUGACAUUUAUACUAAAUUAUCUAUAAAACAAGACUCAACUAAAAAAAAUUCUGUACACAUUGGUUUACUACAUUCAAAUUCUAAAAGAAUUCCCAACCAUAAAAACUUAUAUAAAGUACCCUAUCGUAUCGCGUUUCAGCUAGACUGCAUAGCUGUUCGUACCACGUACCGAACGAAUCACAUUUCAGGUAACACUGCAGUCUAAAGUAAUUCAAGGAUCCUAUGUUCCAUAUAUAUGCUUUAGAUUCAGCAUAGCUAAGUAAUUGUAUGCGACAUGCUAGUAAUUUCAGGCCUCACUUGGUAUGAAGGAAAAAAAAUUCUCAAAAAUGGUUAUCUCAUUACUUUAAUAAAUCUCCGAUAGUGAAAAUCUAGAAAUAUAUUUUGUAAAGCUUUUGUGGUAUGUUAAGAAUAUUGUUCAAAGAUCUUAAUUUUAGUCAAGUAGAUAAGCCUUAUAUAUUCUUUUAUUAAUUCUUUGAGGGUGGAGAAAAAGAUUACUGCACCAUGAGUAAUGAAUGAAAUACCAACUCUAUGUGAUAAAUCAUAAAUGAAAUAUGAACAAUUAUGUGCACCAAAGGCCAUAAAUUAUCAGUAGAAACGACAUUUCAUUUUCCACUCUCGAUUCCUAAAGAAAUAAGGCCUCAGUGUUUUGGGCAAUUUCCUGCACCCAAGAAAUAAAUUUUGGUAUAACAUGUAUGACAAUUUCCUUCAGCCGUAUUCAUAUUAUCUGACUAUUAUAUUUCAGGUACUGAAACCACAAAGACGUUCUCCAGAAGUUGGGUGAAGCAAUGGGUCUUGCGGUUCCAGGAGAUGCUGACACUUCUGCUGAAACCUCUGGGUUAGAUGAAACUGAUGAAGUGGAAAAUGAGGAUGAAUCCAUUGUUCAUCACACUGCUAGUGUCAGUGAUGUGGAGGUAAAUCAUUUCUGUGUUUACUCUUGUCCUUGGUGCUUGGUGCUAUUAGUUCAUUACAACUUACAAAUGUAUUGACAUUUUUUAUAAUAAUUUUAAUCAAAGUCAAAAUGUGGAAGAAUUUUGUUCGUCGAAGUAGUAUGAACUAUCACUCCUCUCGCAUUCUUUUUCCUUUCUAAUAAAAUUCCCUCUUUUUAUGGAAGUAAAAAGUAGGUGGAUUAAUUAAUUGCUCGUCUUUUGUUACUUGGUAAUUAUUACUAGCUUUUACCAUUUUUUUAGUUCUCGAGAUUAUGAGUUAAAGUACGUUAUUGGUUAUGAGUUUGGUUGUUUUUACAUACAUAUAUACUUGUUUAUCACAAUUGUUUUGUAUUUACUAUUUAUGUAGUUGAAGUGACAGAGAUUUAUCAUGAAGUACUAAACCAACAAGUUCGUUCAUCUUUUUAACUUGUUUGUACUAAACCAAAAGGGUCCUAAGAUUUCCUGUUUGUUCUUUCGUCAACAUGUAUGGAUCAACAUGUGAUUGAUUUUUAGUACGUAGCACGCCCUCUCCAUCACUGUUUGAUCGAUAUAGGAAAUUAAAAGGAUCCCCACUGGAUAGGAGAGGGAAGAAUUCUGACAAUAAUCAAGUACAUAAUUAAAAUUUUGAAACCCCAUUUAAUUCUGUAAUCAGCACAAAGAUGAACUCAUAAUACACAUCAAAUGAGCUCAGCAUUAAACCAGAGCAAGAACAGCUUAAACAAAAAUUCUCUAAAUCCCCAAUUUAUACAUAACAUCAUAAAUUUCUUAAAUUGAAACCUAAAUAUGUGUGUAAGUUUACUUUAGAUUUAAUUUGUGUGUGAAAGCAAAAUUACAAGCUAUUGUGCGUGUUAGUGUGUGUAAAAUUGGGAAAAAGGUCAAAUUGAAUACUAACCGUUACCUACAGGUAAUAGAAGAUAACAAUGGAAGAGAAUGAGGCAAAGCAAGCCGCCGUUGUCGUCGAAAAUUGCAGAAAUUGGAAUUGGCACUUCUUUUUUUGCUAAACUAGGGUAAUAAUGAGUGGGAGGAGAGAAAGGGGAAAUAGAGUAGUGAGGCGGAGGAGAGUGGCUGAGGAGGGUGAGAGAGGAGGAGGAUGAGGAGGCAGCAGGAGAAUGAGAGAGGAGGAGGCGGUAGAUCGAGUAUCAUUUCUCAAGUUGAUCGCUCAUAGUCCAUUUGAAUAAUUU
rnacentral:lncRNA from 1 species